rnacentral:rRNA from 1 species
AACGUAGGAGACAAACGUUAUCCGGAGUUACUGGGCGUGAAGGGCGUGUAGGCGGUUUGUUAAGUCUGGCGUGAAAGCUCUCGGCUAAACCGGGAGAGGUCGUUGGAUACUGGCAAACUAGAGGACGGUAGAGGCGUGUGGAAUUCCGGGUGUAGUGGUGAAAUGCGUAGAGAUCCGGAGGAACACCAGUGGCGAAGGCGACACGCUGGGCCGUACCUGACGCUAAAGCGCGACAGCAUGGGGAGCAAACGGG